rnacentral:rRNA from 1 species
UAAGGUUGGGUAUAAACCCGGGAAACUGGGUAUAAUACCCGAUAGGUCUCGAUUGCUGGAAUGCAUCGAGAUUUAAAGCUCCGGCGCCUAAGGAUGGGUCUGCGGCCUAUCAGGUAGUAGUGGGUGUAGCGUACCUACUAGCAUACGACGGGUACGGGUUGUGAGAGCAAGAGCCCGGAGAUGGAUUCUGAGACACGAAUCCAGGCCCUACGGGGUGCAGCAGGCGCGAAAACUUUACAAUGCUGGCAACAGCGAUAAGGGAACCUCGAGUGCCAGGUUACAAAUCUGGCUGUCGAGAUGCCUAAAAAGCAUUUCAUAGCAAGGGCCGGGCAAGACCGGUGCCAGCCGCCGCGGUAACACCGGCGGCUCGAGUGGUAACCGUUAUUAUUGGGUCUAAAGGGUCUGUAGCCGGCCGGAUAAGUCUCUUGAGAAAUCUGGCAGCUUAACUGUCAGGCUUUCAGGAGAUACUGUCUGGCUCGAGGCCGGGAGAGGUGAGAGGUACUUCAGGGGUAGGGGUGAAAUCUUGUAAUCCUUGAAGGACCACCAGUGGCGAAGGCGUCUCACCAGAACGGACCUGACGGCAAGGGACGAAAGCUAGGGGCACGAACCGGAUUAGAUACCCGGGUAGUCCUAGCCGUAAACGAUGCUCGCUAGGUGUCGGCCACGGUGCGACCGUUGUCGGUGCCGUAGGGAAGCCGUGAAGCGAGCCACCUGGGAAGUACGGCCGCAAGGCUGAAACUUAAAGGAAUUGGCGGGGGAGCACCACAACGGGUGGAGCUUGCGGUUUAAUUGGAUUCAACGCCGGAAAUCUUACCGGGACCGACAGCAAUAUGAAGGCCAGGCUGAAGACUUUGCCGGAUUAGCUGAGAGGUGGUGCAUGGCCGUCGUCAGUUCGUACUGUGAAGCAUCCUGUUAAGUCAGGCAACGAGCGAGACCCA